GUCCACGCCGUAAACGAUGAUCACUAGACGUGGGUCUUCUUAGGAGGAUCUGUGUCGAAGCUAACGCGUUAAGUGAUCCGCCUGAGUAGUACGGUCGCAAGAUUAAAACUCAAAGAAAUUGACGGGGGUCCGCACAAGCGGUGGAACAUGUGGUUUAAUUCGACACUACGCGAGAAACCUUACCCAGGCUUGACAUGUUGGUGAAAACUGCAGAGAUGUAGUCCUCUUGGGAAACCAAGACACUUUCACAGGUGCUGCAUGGCUGUCGU
rnacentral:rRNA from 1 species